UGGACACUGAUGCUACAGAUAUUACAUU
rnacentral:piRNA from 1 species